AGUGAACACUGGCGGUAGGCCUAACACAUGCAAGUCGAACGGCAGCACAGUAAGAGCUUGCUCUUACGGGUGGCGAGUGGCGGACGGGUGAGGAAUACAUCGGAAUCUACUUUUUCGUGGGGGAUAACGUAGGGAAACUUACGCUAAUACCGCAUACGACCUACGGGUGAAAGCAGGGGAUCUUCGGACCUUGCGCGAUUGAAUGAGCCGAUGUCGGAUUAGCUAGUUGGCGGGGUAAAGGCCCACCAGGGCGACGAUCCGUAGCUGGUCUGAGAGGAUGAUCAGCCACACUGGAACUGAGACACGGUCCAGACUCCUACGGGAGGCAGCAGUGGGGAAUAUUGGACAAUGGGCGCAAGCCUGAUCCAGCCAUACCGCGUGGGUGAAGAAGGCCUUCGGGUUGUAAAGCCCUUUUGUUGGGAAAGAAAAGCAGCAGGUUAAUACCCCGCUGUUCUGACGGUACCCAAAGAAUAAGCACCGGCUAACUUCGUG
rnacentral:rRNA from 1 species